CGAAUGGUUUUCUUCAAGAAACCCUUUUUAUUUUUAUUUUUAUACUUUCUCAAAAUCAAAGCCAUUCCUUUUUGUUGUCAAAGCUUCAUCUGAUGACGUGACCGAAGCAUCCAAAGAAGCUUCAUCUAUUGCUCCUGGUGGAUCAACUGACAACGCUGGAGUCUUUAAUUUUGGAGAUAAAGUACUCGCCACCAGUGCUGUUUUUCGGACCGAAACUUGGAAGAACAAUCUACACAAUUCGCCAAAGAAUAGGCCCGUUACUCAUGACAAUGCACAAAAGAUAGGGUUAGUUUAUUUUGUAUGCAUUUUCGCAAUGUUACCCUGAUUCUGAACUUAACUCAUGGAUCCGUGAACCUUGGUUUCCAUUUUUUCACAAGAUAGAAACUAGUGGUAAGUUCACUGAUAAGGAUAUCUACAGAGCCGAGUAGAACUCUGGUGUAGUCAGUAACAAAAUCAGGGAAAUUCAAGAAUGCUAAGUACAAGGAAGUAUUAGAGAAAUUUAAGUCAGUUUUGGGAACGAAGCCAGAGCCUGAUGAAGCAGCAGUGGCAAGUUAUAAUGUUGCUUGUUGUUGCUCUAAGCCAAACCAGAAGCUUUAGGAUUUGAAGAUCAUAAAAGUUACAAAACUGUCGUAAGGAAGCAAGUAAAAUAUUGGAAACUAGCCUUCUUCACCAAGUGGAUAUUGAUGCUGAUGAAAUAGUCAUUUGGAUGAAGAUAAUUUAAUCGGUCAUGAUGGUACCGGAGAGGUCUAUACACUCUAUGCUUGAUUUUUUAAAUGAGGAACCAACCUUUUAGUUUUUGAGUAUAUGCCAAAUGGUAAUCUUUUUGAAGCUCUUCAUUGAAAUAUAAAAGAUGAGAAGGUUGCAUGGGAUUGGAAUCUGGUAUAAAUUGCAUUGGGAGGUGCAUAAAGGAUUUGGGAUUUGCACUAUGAUUGUUCUCCGCCUGUUAUUCACAGAGGGAUAUAAAAUCUAGCAACAUCUUGCUUGAUGAAGACUACGAGGCAAAAAUUGCUGAAUUAGGUGUUGCAAGGUUUGCUGGAAAAAAAAACUCAUAUGGGUUAUAGCUUUUUUGCUGGCACACAUGGUUAUAUUGCUCCAGAUUUAAUGCUGAUGGAAUGCUAGGUACAAGGAAGCAUUAGAGAAAUUUGAUUCUCUUUUGGGAACAAAGCCAGAACUUAAGAAGCAGCAUUCACAAGUUAUAAUGUUGCUUGUUGAUACUCUAAGCUAAACCAGAAGGUCUUUGAUGUAUUUAUAUUGUGACGGAGUGAUGGUGUGCCAAAAGGAUUGGUUAUGAAAAGGCUUCAAGGGCUAUUACAAUAGUGCAACGCAAAAGCAACACUUGAGAAACCCAAUAGCAAGCUAUUGUGGUGGACUCUCCCCCUCAAGAAAUAAAUUUAAUAUCGUGUGAACCAUUGGCCCACAUAUCAGAUAUUAAACUGAUAAGAACAGAUACUACACUUGAUCUUAGCCAAAAGGCCGAGAAAGAAUAUGGCAGGAGUAGGACACUAUUCAUUGCUGAUGAAAUGCUAAGUACGAGGAAGCAUUAGAGAAAUUUAAUUCUAUUUUGGGAACAAAGCCAGAUGUUGAAGAAGCAGCAUUCACCAGUUAUAAUGUUGCUUAUUGAUAUUCUAAACUAAGCCGGAAGGAAUGCUAAGUACGAGGAAGCAUUAGAGUAAUUUGAGUCUGUUUGGGGAACAAAAUCAGAGCCUGAUGAAGCAGCAGUGACAAGUUAUAAUUUUGCUUGUUGUUACUCUAAGCUAAACCAGAUUGCCAGAAGUAUCAAAACUAAUUCAGUAACAACUCUUGGGUGUAAGUCUUUCUUAAUAGGGCUCACGGAACAAAGAAAUCAGUUAGUGAUUGAACAUCAAGACAUUCACAUUUGAGAGCAAGUUCUGCCAUCGUUUAAAAAAUAUUGACUGCAAAAACUACAUUGUUUAUUAGUUUGAUGGCUUAUGAUAUUUCAUGUUCUAGUACCGUGCUUGACAAAGAUUUUAGUGUGGAAAGAUGUUUCUUUAAAUGCUACCUACCAAUUCUUCUCCUUUUUUCUUUAUGCUGAAUUGCUAGUUCAGUUCAAGUGAAAACCUUUUUUUUUUAUAUAUAAAAAUGAGAGCUGUUUGCUAUGGAAGAACAAUCAAAAUUACUUCAGCUUUAAUUAACCAAAGUGUGAAUUUUUUAUUAAACAUUAAUUAACUAUCUGUUUUUGAGCAGGUUUGUAUCCCUUAGUGUUGAGGGACUGUUAGAGUAGCAAAUUGAUAUAGCUGUCACUUGCUCUUUUUAUUCUUGUAAAGACAAGAUGGACAUGGUAUUUGUAUAUGAAAAUGUAAAUUUGCAUGGCCUUGUUUGAGACCAACAAAAACUUUAAUUUCGAAGCAUCUAAUUUGGUAUCUUCCUGAUAAUCCUAACGUCUGAUGAAGCAGAGCAGACAAUCAAAAUUACUUCAGCUUUAAUUAACCAAAGUGUGAAUUUUUUAUUAAACAUUAAUUAACUAUCUGUUUUUGAGCAGGUUUGUAUCCCUUAGUGUUGAGGGACUGUUAGAGUAGCAAAUUGAUAUAGCUGUCACUUGCUCUUUUUAUUCUUGUAAAGACAAGAUGGACAUGGUAUUUGUAUAUGAAAAUGUAAAUUUGCAUGGCCUUGUUUGAGACCAACAAAAACUUUAAUUUCGAAGCAUCUAAUUUGGUAUCUUCCUGAUAAUCCUAACGUCUGAUGAAGCAGAGCAGCAGCAAGUUAUAAUGUUGCUUGUUGUUACUCUAAGCAAGCUUGUUCAUUUUACAAAUUAUUUUCAAUUCAUUAGUCUAUAUAUGUUUCAUUGCUAUAUAAACAUUCACUCUGUUGUUUAACCAAACGAUGUGGGACUUGUGAAGCAACACAAUAGCUGCCCACUUUCACAUGCAAUCCCAGUGAAGCAACACAAUAGCUGCCCACUUCUGAAGUACUGAAAAGAUUAUUUUUUGUUAAUAAUAGGAAUGCAUGUGGAUGGCAAAACAUAAACAUGACCAUUUUCCUGUACGUAAACAUGAAUUAAUAUAACCAUAACCAUUAUCCUGUACAUAAACACGAAUUAAUAUGUUAACAAAACAUGAAUUAAUAUGUCCCAAAGCAAGUGGAUGGCAAUGUUCAGUGAUAUGCAAGAGAGACAAUUGAUACGUUUGCAGUAAUACAUUUGCAGUGAUUAGUUUUGUGCAACGUCAUAGUCAAAACUCAGAAAGUUACUGUGAUUUAUUUUCUCCAAGGGAGGAACCAUCUAGGAGUGUCAUAGUCAAAACUUAGAAAGAGGCAAAGAAAAUGAUCAACCAUUUUUGAAAUAACCAGGAGUGUCAUAGUCAACCCAGGAGUGUCAUAACCAUCUAGGAAUGUCUAUGCAAUUUUGUAAUUUGCAGGAGGAGUUUUCUAAGCCAUUCUUGAAACCACCACAUUUGAAUCAACCUCUAUCUACCCUUCUUCUCUUUGAAUCUACCAUGGCUUUUGGGCGGAUUCUUAUGAGUGAAAAUGAUGGGAAUUACAAAGGUCCACUCA